rnacentral:rRNA from 1 species
CCUACGGGAGGCAGCAGUGGGGAAUUUUGCGCAAUGGGGGCAACCCUGACGCAGCAACGCCGCGUGAGUGAUGAAGGCCUUCGGGUCGUAAAGCUCUGUCAGAGGGGAAGAAAUGCAGGUGGUGAACAACCAUUCUGUUUGACGGUACCCUCAAAGGAAGCACCGGCUAACUCCGUGCCAGCAGCCGCGGUAAUACGGAGGGUGCGAGCGUUGUUCGGAAUUAUUGGGCGUAAAGCGCGUGUAGGCGGUUUGUUAAGUCGGAUGUGAAAGCCCCGGGCUCAACCGGGGAAGUGCAUUGGAUACUGGCAGACUUGAGUACGGGAGAGGAGAGUGGAAUUCCCAGUGUAGGGGUAAAAUCCGUAGAUAUUGGGAGGAACACCGGUGGCGAAGGCGGCUCUCGGGACUAAUACUGACGCUGAGGCGCGAAAGCUAGGGGAGCAAACGGGAUUAGAUACCCCUGUAGU